AGACAAUCUUUAGUUCUGAACCAGACACUUAAUGUCAGUUUAACGUCUUUUAACUGAAGAUGAUUAUUUCUGGUUCUUUCUGCAAGUGGAACCAAAUUUAUUAUCAUUUUUGACUUGACUUUUAGAAACACUUCACAAAUCUGUGUUUCAUAAUCAGCCUUUUAGACUUUAACACUGGUGAAAUAUGACACAAGCUCACAGCAGCUGAUGAUCUGAUAUCUACCCACCCCAGAUAGAUGUAGUUAUCUCUGGACCUUCACAUCACAUGCUGUGUUUCUCUUAUGCAGCAGGUGUUGCAAAAGAAAUAAGAUGAAGACUGUGUUUGUGGUGCUGUUGCUUCUUCCGGCUCUGGCCUCACCUCAUAAACUUUAUGAUCAGACCGCAGAACCGUCUCUGGUUCGACACUCAGAGAUCGUUCAGGACCAGAUGAUGGAUGAACUUGGUACCGGAAAGAGAUCUGAGUGAAGAAAAGACAAAGAGAUGUGACACUGCAUGUGAAAGAAAGAAAGAAAGAAAGAAAGAAAGAAAGAAAGAAAGAAAGAAGAGAAGAGAAGAGAAGAGAAGAAAAAGAAUGAAGGAACGAAGAAAAAAGAAUCAAUGAAAUGAUUAAAUGAACAAAUGUGUUUAAGUAAGAAAUAAAUUGAUUUGUAAGCAAAAUGAAUGGAUGUGUUUCUCUGAAACGGUUCAUGUCUCUUUCCAUGGAUCGUUUGAAUCAGUCAGUUAGUCCAUCAGCUACUCAGGAAAAGUGUAUAUAUACUGCUCAAAAAAAUAAAGGGAACACUUAAGCAACACAUCCUAGAGCUGAAUGAAUGAAAUAGUCUUAUUAAAUACUUUGUUCUUUACAUAGUUGAAUGUGCUGACAAAAAAUCACACAAAAAUUAUCAAUGAAAAUCAAAUUUAUUAACCCAUGGACGUCUGAAUUAGGAGUCACACUCAAAAUUGAAGUGGAAAAACACACUACAGGCUGACCCAACUUUGAUGUAAUGUCCUUAAAACAAGUCAAAAUGAUGCUCAGUAGUGUGUGUGGCCUCCACUUGCCUGUAUGACCUCCCUACAAUGCCUGGGCAUGCUCCUGAUGAGGUGGCGGAUGGUCUCCUGAGGGAUCUCCUCCCAGACCUAGACUAAAGCAUCCGCCAACUCUUGGACAGUCUGUGGUGCAACGUGGCAUUGGUGGAUGGAGUGAGACAUGAUGUCCCAGAUGUGCUAAACUGGAUUCAGGUCUGGGGAACGGGUGGGCCAGUCCAUAGCAUCAAUGCCUUCGUCUUGCAGGAACUACUGACACACUCAAGCCACAUGAGGUCUAGCAGUGACUAGGAACCCAGGGCCAACUGCACUGGCAUAUGGUCUCACAAGGGGUCUGAGGAUCUCAUCUCGGUACCUAAUGGCAGUCAGGCUACCUCUGGUGAGCACAUGGAGGGCUGUGCGGCUCUCAAAAGAAAUGCCACCCCACACCAUUACUGACCCACUGCCAAACCGGUCAUCCGGUCAUGGAGGAUGUUUCAGGUAGCAGAACGUUCUCCACGUCAGUCACAUGUGCUCAGUGCGAACCUGCUUUCAUCUGUGAAGAGCACAGGGCGCCAGUGGUAAAUUUGCCAAUCUUGGUGUUCUCUGGCAAAUGCCAAACGUCCUGCCCGGUGAUGGGCUGUAAGCAAAACCCCCACCUGUGGACUUCAAGCCCUCAUACCACCCUCAUGGAGUCUGUUUCUGACCUUUUGAGCAGACACAUGCACAUUUGUCUCGGGUGGCUUCAUACACAACAAUCCCAUGAGACACUGCCUGACCAUGAAGAUCAAUCUCUGGCAGGGUGACCACCGGGCGACGAGACUCCAAACAGGAGUAGAACAUCAGGAUUGAUGAAGUAGCUCAGUAAGAAGAGACGAUCAGGCUAGGAACUCAGAACACUGGGAGCUUGGGAGUUACAUAUAUAGCUCGACAGAGAGAGAGAAAAAUUGUUAGGUAUGAUUGUUAUCAGGUGAUGGACAAUGUAAAUUAUGUGUAAAGUGCAGACAGGGACUCCAUCAAGACUAGCUAUGACAGCAUAACUAAAAGUCUAGAGCCAGAAGGUGACACAGACAUGAGGGCUUCCUGAGAUGUAAAGCGUCCCCCCACUCCAGAGCACACCCCUCACAUUUUAGUAAAUAUUUUAUUAUAUCUUUAAAUGUCACAACACUGAAGAAAUGACCCUGUGCUCCAAUGUAAAGUGAGUGUACAGCUUGUAUAACAGUGUAAAUUUGAUGUCCCCUCAAAAUAACUCCACACACAGCCAUUAAUGUCUAAACCGAUGGACACAAACGUGAGUACACCCCUAAGUGAAAAUAUCCAAAUUGGGCCCAAAGUGUCAAAAUUCUGUGUGGCCACCAUUAUUUUCCAACACUGCCUUAACCCUUUUGGGCAUGGAGUUCACCAGAGCAUCACAGGUUGCCACUGGAGUCCUCUUCCACUGCUCCAUGAUGACUGUUUUUGCUCUCUGCACAUUCUGUCUAGAGAGCAAGGGUUAUUCCCAUCCUAAAGAAACCUGCUCUGGAUCCAUCAGACAUCAAACUCGUUUCUUUCAAAAAUUCUUGAAUGCAUGUCUAUAAUCAACUGUCUAUCUCAGAACAACAGAACAACCUCCAAGAUCCCAACCAGUCUGGCUUUAAAGCAGCUCAUUCCACAGAGACAGCCCUUUUGGAUGUCUCUGAGAAACUACAUGCUGAUAGUUCAGCCAAACUGUAAUCCGUCCUUAUCCUCCUUGCAGCGUUUGAUACGGUCAACCACAAGACUCUCUUGUCCACCCUCAGGAGUCUUGGGAUUUGAGGAUCAGCUUGGGAAUGGUUCACUUCCUACCUGGAAGGACGCUCUUAUCAGGUAACAUGGAGGGGAGAGACAUCUGCUCCAUGCAGACUCUCCACUGGUGUCCCACAGGGCUCAGUACUUCGUCCUCUUCUUUUCAUCCCAGGUGAUUCAUCCCCAGGUCAUGAUCUUGCUAUAUCCUUGCACAAUGAUCUGAUCUCCCCUUCAGCCACAGCUCGCAACCUUGGGGUAACCAUGGACAAUCAACUGUCCUUUUCCUCUCAUGUUUCUUCUUUACAACAUUAGAAGGAUUCGGCCAUUUUUGUCCACACAGGCUGCUCAGGUAUUUGUUCAAUCUCUUGUCAUUUCUAGGCUGGAUUAUUGCAAUGCACUGCUGGCAGGUCUACCUAUGAACGCAAUCCAUCUUCUGCAAAUGAUCUAAAAUGCAGCUGCCUGGCUUGUUUUCAACCUGCCAAAGUUCUCGCAUACCACCCCGCUGCUGCGAUCCCUCCACUGGCUUCCAAUAGCUGCACACAUCAGAUUCAAAACACUGAUGCCUACAAAGCCAAAAAUGGACCAGCUCCCUCUUACCUAAAAGCCCUCAUCACUCCUCGCACUGCACCCCGCACCACUGCACCCUCCGAUCUACCAGCACUGCUCGACUGGUUCCACCAUCUCUCAGGGUAAGAGCCAAGUACUGUAUACUACAAGACUCUUCUCUGUUCUGUCAUGAAGGUGGUGGAAUGAACUUCCCCUAGAGGUCCAGACAGCUGAGUCCCUGGCUAUUUUCAAGCGGCGGUUGAAGACCUACUGAUUCAGGAAACACUUCAACUAGCACUUCUUUCCUUAUCUUUUGCAUGUAAAAAAAAUCAGAAAACAAAAAAAAAAGUGACAGUUUUUUCAUUAUAACUCUGAACAAAUGUUUUAAACUCAUGGUAUCUUAAGUAUGUAACCUAGUGAUCCAGCAUUAAUGUAUUCAAUGCUAGAGAUUUAAGCACUUAUGUACGUCGCUCUGGAUAAGGGUGUCUGCCAAAUGCUGUAAAUGUAAAACAUUUCAGUUGUUUGCUGUUUUGCACAACACUUUACAAUACCUCAUGUAACUGCUGCUAUAUUGCUGCUAUAACACUGUGUUCAUUCCAGUAUUUCUGCACACGUAAUACUGAUUGUAUUAUGGCUUGUGUUAAUGUUCAUAGAUGGUAAUAUUGGGCCAGUCCGGUAGAGGGCGGGAGUGAAUGUUAGAGUUGCGGAGAAGUAGAUUAAAAACCUGAUUGUUGAGAAUGUUUGUCCUCGUUUUGUCCUUUUGAUUGCAAUAUACACAGCUCAAGACAUUACAGUGAAAUAUCUUGCAUUGUCUGUUUGCACUGUCUUUUGUCCUGCACUGUCUUUUUGUCUUUUGUCCUGCACUGUCUUGUCUGUCUUAUUUGUCUUGUGCUGCACUGUGUACACCAGGUCACACAGAUGCACUUUAUGUGUCUAGGACUAACUUACUAAGUCCUUAUUUCUGUCUCUGUUUUUUUGAAGCUCCAUG